rnacentral:rRNA from 1 species
UCUCGAAAGGGAUGCUAAUACCGCAUACGUCCUACGGGAGAAAGCAGGGGAUCUUCGGACCUUGCGCUAAUAGAUGAGCCUAAGUCGGAUUAGCUAGUUGGUGGGGUAAAGGCCUACCAAGGCGACGAUCUGUAGCGGGUCUGAGAGGAUGAUCCGCCACACUGGGACUGAGACACGGCCCAGACUCCUACGGGAGGCAGCAGUGGGGAAUAUUGGACAAUGGGGGGAACCCUGAUCCAGCCAUGCCGCGUGUGUGAAGAAGGCCUUAUGGUUGUAAAGCACUUUAAGCGAGGAGGAGGCUACUCUAGUUAAUACCUAGGGAUAGUGGACGUUACUCGCAGAAUAAGCACCGGCUAACUCUGUGCCAGCAGCCGCGGUAAUACAGAGGGUGCGAGCGUUAAUCGGAUUUACUGGGCGUAAAGCGUGCGUAGGCGGCUUAUUAAGUCGGA